GAUGAACGCUGGCGGCGUGCCUAAUACAUGCAAGUCGAGCGAACGGACGAGAAGCUUGCUUUUCUGAUGUUAGCGGCGGACGGGUGAGUAACACGUGGAUAACCUACCUAUAAGACUGGGAUAACUUCGGGAAACCGGAGCUAAUACCGGUUAAUAUUUUGAACCGCAUGGUUCAAUAUUGAAAGACGGUUUUGCUGUCACUUAUAGAUGGAUCCGCGCUGCAUUAGCUAGUUGGUAAGGUAACGGCUUACCAAGGCAACGAUGCAUAGCCGACCUGAGAGGGUGAUCGGCCACACUGGAACUGAGACACGGUCCAGACUCCUACGGGAGGCAGCAGUAGGGAAUCUUCCGCAAUGGGCGAAAGCCUGACGGAGCAACGCCGCGUGAGUGAUGAAGGUCUUCGGAUCGUAAAACUCUGUUAUUAGGGAAGAACAUAUGUGUAAGUAACUGUGCACAUCUUGACGGUACCUAAUCAGAAAGCCACGGCUAACUACGUG
rnacentral:rRNA from 1 species